UGCAACCCGACUCCAUGAAGCUGGAUUCGCUAGUAAUCGCGCAUCAGCCACGGCGCGGUGAAUACGUUCCCGGGCCUUGUACACACCGCCCGUCAAGCCAUGGAAGCCGGGGGUGCCUGAAGUGCGCUGCCGCGAGGAGCGCCCUAGGGUAAAACCGGUGACUGGGGCUAAGUCGUAACAAGGUACC
rnacentral:rRNA from 1 species